UGCUAUGACAGCUCCUCCUUUGCCACAUCU
rnacentral:piRNA from 1 species